rnacentral:rRNA from 1 species
UCUCCGUAGGUGAACCUGCGGAGGGAUCAUUACACAAAUAUGAAGGCGGGCUGGAAUCUCUCGGGGUUACAGCCUUGCUGAAUUAUUCACCCUUGUCUUUUGCGUACUUCUUGUUUCCUUGGUGGGUUCGCCCACCACUAGGACAAACAUAAACCUUUUGUAAUUGCAAUCAGCGUCAGUAACAAAUUAAUAAUUACAACUUUCAACAACGGAUCUCUUGGUUCUGGCAUCGAUGAAGAACGCAGCGAAAUGCGAUAAGUAGUGUGAAUUGCAGAAUUCAGUGAAUCAUCGAAUCUUUGAACGCACAUUGCGCCCUUUGGUAUUCCAAAGGGCAUGCCUGUUCGAGCGUCAUUUGUACCCUCAAGCUUUGCUUGGUGUUGGGCGUCUUGUCUCUAGCUUUGCUGGAGACUCGCCUUAAAGUAAUUGGCAGCCGGCCUACUGGUUUCGGAGCGCAGCACAAGUCGCACUCUCUAUCAGCAAAGGUCUAGCAUCCAUUAAGCCUUUUUUCAACUUUGACCUCGGAUCAGGUGGGAUCCC